UGGGGAAUUUUGGACAAUGGGCGAAAGCCUGAUCCAGCAAUGCCGCGUGUGUGAAGAAGGCCUUCGGGUUGUAAAGCACUUUUGUCCGGAAAGAAAUCCUUGGCUCUAAUACAGUCGGGGGAUGACGGUACCGGAAGAAUAAGCACCGGCUAACUACGUGCCAGCAGCCGCGGUAAUACGUAGGGUGCAAGCGUUAAUCGGAAUUACUGGGCGUAAAGCGUGCGCAGGCGGUUUGCUAAGACCGAUGUGAAAUCCCCGGGCUCAACCUGGGAACUGCAUUGGUGACUGGCAGGCUAGAGUAUGGCAGAGGGGGGUAGAAUUCCACGUGUAGCAGUGAAAUGCGUAGAGAUGUGGAGGAAUACCGAUGGCGAAGGCAGCCCCCUGGGCCAAAUACUGACGCUCAUGCACGAAAGCGUGGGGGAGCAAAACAGGAUUAGAUACCCUGGUAGUCCACGCCCUAAACGAUGUCAACUAGUUGUUGGGGAUUCAUUUCCUUAGUAACGUAGCUAACGCGUGAAGUUGACCGCCUGGGGAGUACGGUCGCAAGAUUAAAACUCAAAGGAAUUGACGGGGUC
rnacentral:rRNA from 1 species